rnacentral:rRNA from 1 species
UACGUAGGGUGCAAGCGUUUGUCCGGAAUUAUUGGGCGUAAAGAGCUCGUAGGCGGUCUGUCGCGUCGGAUGUGAAAACUCGGGGCUCAACCCCGAGCCUGCAUUCGAAACGGGCAGACUAGAGUUCGGUAGGGGAGACUGGAAUUCCUGGUGUAGCGGUGAAAUGCGCAGAUAUCAGGAGGAACACCGGUGGCGAAGGCGGGUCUCUGGGCCGAUACUGACGCUGAGGAGCGAAAGCGUGGGGAGCGAACAGG